AUUAGAGUUUGAUCCUGGCUCAGAAUCAACGCUGGCGGCGUGCUUCAGACAUGCAAGUCGAACGAUUAAAGCUCCCUUCGGGGAGUGCAUAAAGUGGCGCACGGGUGAGUAACACGUAAGUAAUCUACCCUCGAGUGGGGAAUAACAGUCGGAAACGACUGCUAAUACCGCAUAAUGCAGCGGCACCUUAUGGUGACAGUUGUUAAAGGAGCAAUCCGCUUGAGGAGGAGCUUGCGGCAGAUUAGCUUGUUGGUAAGGUAACGGCUUACCAAGGCUACGAUCUGUAUCCGGCCUGAGAGGGCGGUCGGACACACUGACACUGAAUAACGGGUCAGACUCCUACGGGAGGCAGCAGUCGGGAAUUUUGGGCAAUGGGCGAAAGCCUGACCCAGCAACGCCGCGUGAAGGAUGAAGUAUUUCGGUAUGUAAACUUCGAAAGAAUGGGAAGAAUAAAUGACGGUACCAUUUAUAAGCUCCGGCUAACUACGUGCCAGCAGCCGCGGUAAUACGUGGGGAGCAAGCGUUGUUCGGAUUUACUGGGCGUAAAGGGCGCGUAGGCGGCGUGUUAAGUCAGCUGUGAAAUCUCUGAGCUCAACUCAGAACGGCCAGCUGAUACUGAUGUGCUAGAGUGCAGAAGGGGCAACCGGAAUUCUUGGUGUAGCGGUGAAAUGCGUAGAUAUCAAGAGGAACACCUGAGGCGAAGGCGGGUUGCUGGGCUACACUACGCUAGCCNAGCCG
rnacentral:rRNA from 1 species